GAUGAACGCUGGCGGCGUGCCUAAUACAUGCAAGUCGAGCGAACAGACGAGGAGCUUGCUCCUCUGACGUUAGCGGCGGACGGGUGAGUAACACGUGGAUAACCUACCUAUAAGACUGGGAUAACUUCGGGAAACCGGAGCUAAUACCGGAUAAUAUAUUGAACCGCAUGGUUCAAUAGUGAAAGACGGUUUUGCUGUCACUUAUAGAUGGAUCCCCGCCGCAUUAGCUAGUUGGUAAGGUAACGGCUUACCAAGGCAACGAUGCGUGGCCGACCUGAGAGGGUGAUCGGCCACACUGGAACGGAGACGCGGUCCAGACUCCUAAGGGAGGCAGCAGUAGGGAAUCUUCCGCAAUGGGCGAAAGCUUGACGGAGCAACGCCGCGUGAGUGAUGAAGGUCUUCGGAUCGUAAAACUCUGUUAUUAGGGAAGAACAAAUGUGUAAGUAACUAUGCACGUCUUGACGGUACCUAAUCAGAAAGCCACGGCUAACUACGUG
rnacentral:rRNA from 1 species